AGCGGUUCGGGAGCUAAAGCCCAGCAGGAAUUCGGCGAAGCGCGUGCAGCGUUAAUCCGCUUGGCCAGGCCGAGCGGCUGCUCUCGGAGCCAGGAGGGAAACGCAGACCCCAAAUUCACGGGUCCCAUUGGCUUCCUGGCCACAAGGGCCCAGUGCUGGCUCAUGGUCACCCUGCUGUCCCCAGGACCCCAAAGACGCUGCGGAGACUCUGAAUUUUCCACGUUUUAUUUGUUUUGAUUACAGAGUCUUUAUUGCUGAUCUAAUACAAUCACUCAGACAUUAAUAUUUAAAACAUCCUUUGGAAAUGUUAUGUUUGCAGAGCUCUGGUUUCCUCGCUGCAGGCUGAUGGCAGGUUCUGUCUGAUCAUUCCUAAAGUUCAGAACAUAAUUAAUUUCCUUAUAUGAUUUUGCUGGUGUUACCUAAACCUCCUUUUUUUUUCCUAAUUCUUUAAAAAUGUGUUACAUUAAAAAAAAAAAAAAUAAAAGAAACC